rnacentral:rRNA from 1 species
GCUUACCAUGCAGUCGAACGGCAGCACGGGAGCAAUCCUGGUGGCGAGUGGCGAACGGGUGAGUAAUACAUCGGAACGUGUCCUGUAGUGGGGGAUAGCCCGGCGAAAGCCGGAUUAAUACCGCAUACGCUCUACGGAGGAAAGGGGGGGAUCUUAGGACCUCCCGCUACAGGGGCGGCCGAUGGCAGAUUAGCUAGUUGGUGGGGUAAAGGCCUACCAAGGCGACGAUCUGUAGCUGGUCUGAGAGGACGACCAGCCACACUGGGACUGAGACACGGCCCAGACUCCUACGGGAGGCAGCAGUGGGGAAUUUUGGACAAUGGGGGAAACCCUGAUCCAGCAAUGCCGCGUGUGUGAAGAAGGCCUUCGGGUUGUAAAGCACUUUUGUCCGGAAAGAAAACCUCUGGGUUAAUACCCCGGGGGGAUGACGGUACCGGAAGAAUAAGCACCGGCUAACUACGUGCCAGCAGCCGCGGUAAUACGUAGGGUGCAAGCGUUAAUCGGAAUUACUGGGCGUAAAGCGUGCGCAGGCGGUCCGCUAAGACAGAUGUGAAAUCCCCGGGCUUAACCUGGGAACUGCAUUUGUGACUGGCGGGCUAGAGUAUGGCAGAGGGGGGUAGAAUUCCACGUGUAGCAGUGAAAUGCGUAGAGAUGUGGAGGAAUACCGAUGGCGAAGGCAGCCCCCUGGGCCAAUACUGACGCUCAUGCACGAAAGCGUGGGGAGCAAACAGGAUUAGAUACCCUGGUAGUCCACGCCCUAAACGAUGUCAACUAGUUGUCGGGUCUUCAUUGACUUGGUAACGUAGCUAACGCGUGAAGUUGACCGCCUGGGGAGUACGGUCGCAAGAUUAA